AUGAAGGUGUCGUUGAACGAGGCAAAGACAUGAGCAACGCAGAACACUAAUUCUCCAUCCCGAGUGGCGGGUCCGAGGGUGACAUUCUCUUCUUUAGGCUCCCUAGUCUUUCUCCUAGACUGUAAAAACCAACAAGUCAUUUUGUAAAUCAGAAUCCAAAGGGAAUAAACUCCAAAGCUCGUGUCACUUUGAUAUUUACAUCAUUUUUCGCAAGGGCAUCUAGGGAGUGUUAAAAAGACCAGAAGCAAAAGAACCCAUCGAAAAUAGGAAAAGGAAACGGUUACAUUUGCACCGCAUUGAUAUAGCAAAAUACAGACGAAAACGUCAAAAAGAAAAUCAAGAUGCACACAAACCAAAUAAUUUCACUUGACAAUCACAAUAAUCGACACGAAGUACUGCUAAGAAUCCCCAUGUCGUUUUUACAAUUAAUAAAUCAGCACAAGUUACAAAUUACGAGUGCCGGCACAGCAAUUCACGCAGGAAGCGCAACAUAUGAAAAUUGAAUCCCAAACCCUAAUGAUUUAUGCUGAAGCAUCUACCUCAUGCUACGAUUUGCAUAGAAACAAGAAGGGGAGAAGACGAAUCAGAAAAAAUUGCAUCAAUCAGAGGAAGAUUUAGCCCUCCGGAGCGGUACCUUGAUAAAAAUCAAUAUUUUAAACACUGCCAAAUUACACAAUUAAGCAAAGAUUUAUAUGCAGACAUACAAAACAGAAAUUGAAGCACAUACCAUUGCUUGGGCUGCGAAUUCGAAGACGGCUGAGCUCUGCUAUUCGAGUGUGAUAAACCCUAAUUUAGAAAAGACGGGGCUUAUGAAAUGUGAAGAACGCUACUGUAGAGACUGUAUUAAGUCAUAAUUUUAUACUUUUGACACAUAAUUUUGUAUUGUAAAAUAUUAAAUACAACGACAAAUGUAAAAUAGUAUAUUUUUUAUUUACUAAAUAGAAUAUUUAAAGUAAUAAUUGCAUUUCUUUUGUAAUAUCAAAUUUCAUAUAAUUAAUUGUAAGUCGCGAAGAUGUGUAAUUUUAAAUGAUUAUUUACUACAAUUAUUGGAUUAAAUUUUAUUUAAUUAUUUAUAAAAUAAUACAUUUUAAAAAAAAUUACAUACCCCAUCUACAUGUAAAAUAAUAAUGUAUAACUAGGGGUAGAAAUCGGAUGGAAUUGAUCGGAAAUACCUUAUUCGGAAAUUCUCCAAUUUUUUUCGAAAGUUAAAAAUAGUUUUCAAUUUCGUUCCAAAAAAAUCAGAAUUUCAAAAUAAAUUCAAAUUUCGGAAUACAUCGGAAUCGGAGGAAUUUCGGAAUUUUCGGAAAUUGCAUUAAUGUUUAAUAUUUUGUUCCAAAAUCGGAAAUAAUGAUGAUUUUAAGAUUUUUUUUCCUAAUAUUUUCGUAAUUUUCCGGCAAAAUACAACAAUCCAAAACAAAAGUCAAUAUGAUGAAAAUAUAAACACUUGUAAAAACAACAUAAUCAAUUUAUCAAAGUAAACAUAGUUCUUGCAAAUAUAUGAAUAGAAAAAUAACUCAGAAAUACUAUAUAUAUAUAUAUAUAUAUAUAUAUAUAUAUAUAUAUAUAUAUAUAUAUAUAUAUAUAUAUAUAUAUAUAUAUAUAUAUAUAUAUAUACACACACACAGAGAGACCAGAAAUCUAAACCAUAUCAUACAUUAUAUAUUUCGGAAAUAAAAUCGGAUCGAAAAUCGAAAUUUUCAAUAAUUUUAUAUAUAAUUCCAAUUCCGUUCCAAAAAAAAAUCGGAAAUCAAAAUAUCGAAAAUCGGAAUGAAAAAAUGGGUUCCCAUUCAGAUAUUUACGGAUCGAAAUUGACGGAAUUCAGAAAUUUCAUUCCAAUUUCCACCCCUAUGUAUAACUCAGAAAAUACAUAGUAUAUGAUAAAUCUAUAAAGACUUACAAUAUAUGAUUGGGUUUUCUUUUAUUUUUUGUUGAAACUGACAAUAUCACAUUAAACCGUAUCAAUCGCUAUUCUUAAUAUGGUAAAAACUUUUGACGUACUUUUAUUAUAACUCGUUGCUCUAUGAACUUCCGUCCGAGUACUUUUAUUAUAGGGGUAAUAUGUUAGACACCCCUUAAAUCAAACUUAAUUAGAUAUUGGGGACAACCUCAAAUAGAAUAGUUUAACUAAAUCCUUAUUUUUAAAUAAAAUUUGAACCACAUCCUUUGAUUUUAAUUUAACCCGAAAAUACCCUUAAUAUAAUUAAUAAAAAAUCACAUGUAUCUUUUUCUCCUCACCCUAAUUUCUCCGCCGCCCACCCACCCCUUUUCUCUCAACCGUAACACACACUCUCUCAAAGACAGAAAAUAAAUAUUUUGAGAAAACUAGCAAACUUGUGAAAUUGCAAAAAUUAAAGAAGGAUUAAAGAUAAGAGAUCAGAGGAUCUAAAGAGCAGAAGUAUAGAAGUUGUGGUUGACCGGGGCGGCGAGUUGUGGUGGUCAAGGCGGCGGGCUGUGGUGGUCGAGAUCGCGGCGGGCUGUGGUGGUCAAGAUGGCGGCGAGCGAUUGUGGUGGUCGAGGCGACGGCGGGGGGCUGUGGUGGUUGAGGCGGCGGCAGCGGGCUGUGGUGGUCAAGGCGGUGGGCUGUGGUGGUCGAGAUGGCGGCGAGGGGUUGUGGUGGUUGUGGCGGCGGAGAUAUGGUUAUGGAGGAGAUCUGAUCUGGGUUUUCCAACUGUUGGUAGGUGACUACGAGAGCGACGGCUGCAGAUCUUGGCCGCUUGGGUUUGAAGGUUGCUGCGUUGACGGCUAGGGUUGUGUGUUGUUGGCUGCUAGGGUUUGAUUGUAUACCGUAGUAGACCAUAGAAUACCAUAGUAUACCGUACCAUAGUCUACUAUAGUAUUACAAUAAAUAAAAUAUUAAAUAAAUAAAUAAAUAUAUAUAUAUAUAUAUAUAUAUAUAUAUAUAUAUAUAUAUAUAUAUAUAUAUAUAUAUAUUGAAUUUACAAAAACGAAAAACAAGUUUAGUUUUGUAAUUUUUAAUAAUACUGUAGAAUUUUUUUUUUUUUUUUGAUAAUAGUGUAAAAAUGAUAGUACACCAUAAAACAACAUAGUACAUCAUAGUAUACUAUAGUAUUUUUAAAAUCUGCUGAAUUAUUUAACAAAAGGAAGAAGAAAAAAUCGUAAUUUUCAAAAAAAAUGUUAUAAAUAAGGAAAAAAAUUAUUUAUAAUAAUGUAAAAAAUGCAUACUGAAAAUUGAAAAAAUAAAAAUGAGUGAAAGAGCAUUUUUGGAAUGAAUUUAAUAAAGGAUGUGAAGCAAAUGUUUAGUUGAGCUUGUCAUUUAGUUCUAAUUAGUUUUGUCACUAGGGACCUAUAUCUUAAGACCCCUUUAUUAUAACUCGUUGCUCUAUGAACUUCCGUCCGAGUACUUUUAUUAUAACUCGUUGCUCUAUGAACUUCCGUCCGAGAAACAAGGUUAUAGUAUCAUUAACCUCAUUCUCUUCAUCGGUUCCAAUGAUACUCUCAAUUAUUUACUCGUCGGUCAACAUCUCUAAAUUGUACUUUUGUUAUAACUCGUUGCUCUAAGAACUUCCGUACGAGAAACAAGGUUAUAGUAUCAUUAACCUCAUUCUCUUCAUCAGUUCUGAAUUCCGAUGAUCCUCUCAAUCAUUUAUUCAUCAGUCAACAUCUCUAAAACUACAUUGUUUUCUUUAGAGCAGUUUAAGAAUACAACAUUCAUUUUGUCACAAUAAUUCAAUUCAUAUUUUUUUUAUUUUCCUAUUCUUGAAAAAUUUAACCGUCUAACAAUUCAUCCUUACAUUGUUUAAAAAUUUACUAAAAAUAACGAUAAUAAAAAUAAUUUCAUAAACUGAUUAUUUAAUAUUAUUAAGUAAUGUAUAAAUUAAUAAUUAUUAAUUUUUAGAUAAUUUAAUAUCUCAAUGAAAUAAUAGGAUUGCGCGAGUCCCAUUUUAAUAAUUUACAGAUGAUUAGCCGUAAUAAAUGAUUUAGAGAAUUCACCAAUAAAAAAAUAUAUAUCAUCUUGCAGAAUGAUGAAUGUUUUAGAACUUAAAAAUAUUAUAAUCAAUUCACUGGCAAAUUAAAAAAUAAUAUUUAAAAAAAUAGAUUCAUAAAGUCUUAGAUUGAUCCAAAAAUCCUACACAUAAGUUUCAUGUGUUGUUUUAUAGUUAUUUAUUUACUACUGUAUUUUAAUAAUCACUAAAAUGAUUAUAUUAGAUUUAAAGAUAAAUGAUGACUCUAAUUAUACUACUAAUAAGAUUACUAAUCAAAUUAAAUUAAAAUUCAAAUAUAUACUAGUCAUGUAUCAUUCUUGAAAAUCAACUGCAACAGAAUGAAGACAGCUGACAAAGUAAAGAAUGAGACUCCAUAUAGGGAAUAAUAACACUGUCUUGCAUUUAUUGGCAAGAGAGUCAUUACAUUUUAUUCCCAGUAGAAAUUUGAAACGAACAUAACCAAAGACACAGAAAGGAAAAAGAAAGAAAAUAUGACGAGAAAAUAGCAAGUAGGAUUAAAUUUUCAGACAAGACAUUGAUAUUGCAUGUUCCAGAAGUUCGACAGACUCUCAACUACAAUCAGACAUCAAAAUCCAUGUUUAAACUAAAAGUGGAUCACAUUGUAAAAAAAUAAAAAAAAUUCGAGAAACAUUCGAAUGGCAACUGAAACAAACGGUUGUACCAAGUAAAAAGUUACAGCCUCCUUCCCCUUCUACCACCCUUUCUUCUGGUGCUGUCAGUUGGAAUUGGAGUCACAUCCUCUGAAAGAUAAAUAAACCAGCAUAUUCGGUUAAAACUAUUAGAAUUUCGUUAUGUUCAAACAAAUACAAUAACUGCUACAUUAAAAAAAAAAAUCGAUAAAUGAUGUUUGUGAAUCGAAAAAAAAUGUCAAGUACCUAUCCGACCAAUCUUCAUGCCGGAACGAGCAAGGGCUCUAAGUGCAGACUGUGCACCAGGACCAGGGGUUUUAGUCUUGUUACCACCAGUAGCGCGGAGCUUAAUGUGAAGUGCGUUAAUACCCAACUCCUGUAUAUUUUUCCGUCUUAAGUAACCGAAUAGUGAUUAAAGUAAAGAAUUGAGUUUUAGAACGGAAUUAUAAAUAACCUUGCAUCUUGUAGAAACAUCUUGUGCUGCAAGCAUAGCGGCAUAUGGUGAUGAUUCAUCUCUAUCAGCUUUCACCUUCAUACCACCUAUAUUACGCAAGGUCAUAAAAAUUCAGAAAAAAAAGAAUAAUAGAAAACUAGUAAUUUUGGGCUUCAGACGAAAAGUAAUAAACUCAGAACUAAUAAUAAAAAUAUACAGGAAAAUAGAUGUGCCACGAGGACAGAAAUCAAGCAGUAAACGAAUUAAAAAACUUAUCAACAAAUUGACCCCAAAGUCGCAUACAAAAAGGUAAUAUUUAAGAAAAUUAAAAUAAUUAAAUUAUACCUGUGAUACGAACCAUGGUUUCCCUUCCUGAUAAAUCAGUCACAUGCUGCACGGAAAAUGGAAGAGUAAUUAAUAAAGUAUAUAAAUUUAGCGAAUAUAUUAACAUUUACUCUACAAAGGUGACAGUAAACAAAAACAUAUCGAACUGAAGUUCUCACAAUGAAGGUGUCGUUGAACGAGGCAAAGACGUGAGCCACGCAAAACACAAGUUCUCCAUCCCUAGUUGCAGGUCCGAGGGUGACAUUCUCUUCUUUAGGCUCCCUAACCUUUCUCCUCGACUACAACAACCAACGAAUCAUGUAAAUAAGAAUAAGAAUCCAAAGGGAAUACAAAGAUAGUGUCAAUUCAAUAUUGAACAAAUAUAUUUAUAGCUACAUUUUC
rnacentral:lncRNA from 1 species